rnacentral:rRNA from 1 species
CUAGCGACUUCAGAGUUUGAUCCUGGCUCAGGAUGAACGCUAGCGGCAGGCUUAACACAUGCAAGUCGAGGGGCAGCAUGACACGGAGAUUCGUCGAAGUGUUGAUGGCGACCGGCGCAAGGGUGCGUAACGCGUGAGCAACUUGCCCGUUUCUGGGGAAUAACCGGUGGAAGCGCCGACUAAUACCCCAUAGUAUUGAGUUUAGGCAUCUUUACUCAAUUAAAGAAAUUCGGAAACGGAUAGGCUCGCGUGACAUUAGCUAGAUGGUGAGGUAACGGCUCACCAUGGCGACGAUGUCUAGGGGUUCUGAGAGGAAGGUCCCCCACACUGGAACUGAGACACGGUCCAG